rnacentral:rRNA from 1 species
GUGCCAGCCGCUGCGGUAAUACGUAGGUGGCAAGCGUUGUCCGGAUUUAUUGGGCGUAAAGCGAGCGCAGGCGGUUUUAGGUCUGAUGUGAAAGCCUUCGGCUUAACCGGAGAAGUGCAUCGGAAACCGGGAGACUUGAGUGCAGAAGAGGACAGUGGAACUCCAUGUGUAGCGGUGAAAUGCGUAGAUAUAUGGAAGAACACCAGUGGCGAAGGCGGCUGUCUGGUCUGCAACUGACGCUGAGCUCGAAAGCAUGGGUAGCGAACAGGAUUAGAUACCCUGGUAGUCCAUGCCGUAAACGAUGAGUGCUAAGUGUUGGAGGUUUCCGCCUUCAGUGCUGCAGCUAACGCAUUAGCACUCGCCUGGGA